GAGUUUGAUCCUGGCUCAGGAUGAACGCUGGCGGCGUGCCUAACACAUGCAAGUCGAGCGAAGCACUUAACUUAGAUUCUUCGGAUGAAGAGUUUUGUGACUGAGCGGCGGACGGGUGAGUAACACGUAGAUAACCUGCCUCACACAGGGGGAUAACAGUUAGAAAUGACUGCUAAUACCGCAUAAGCGCACAGGGCCGCAUGGCCCGGUGUGAAAAGCUCCGGCGGUGUGAGAUGGACCUGCGUCUGAUUAGCCAGUUGGCGGGGUAACGGCCCACCAAAGCGACGAUCAGUAGCCGGCCUGAGAGGGUGGACGGCCACAUUGGGACUGAGACACGGCCCAGACUCCUACGGGAGGCAGCAGUGGGGAAUAUUGCACAAUGGGGGAAACCCUGAUGCAGCGACGCCGCGUGAGCGAAGAAGUAUCUCGGUAUGUAAAGCUCUAUCAGCAGGGAAGAAGAUGACGGUACCUGACUAAGAAGCACCGGCUAAAUACGUGCCAGCAGCCGCGGU
rnacentral:rRNA from 1 species